AUAGUCUCCAUUUGACCUCUGAGACGUGACAACUAUAUCUUUGCUGUGGCAAAUGCGUUAACUUGCAAUCUAAAGACUACGUUGUCUUGCUGGCGGAUUGAUUUUUGGCCAGGAGCUUGAAUUGUUGCUUCAGCUGGACAUCCAAGUUUCUGGGGCCAAGAGAGCUACAAUCUUGGAUGUCGACUGUGGCAGUGAGUCCUAUUGACUUGCAUGGUAGCAUAAGUUGAAAUGUCAAACAGAAAGGAAAUUAUUUUUGUCUUGAAAUGCAAUAUUUUCAUCGAGUUCAGAGUAGAAGGGUCUUCAGGUACUUGCACUAUUCCAGCGACCUGUAUUAAAAAAUGUUUGGUAUUGGAGCAUUUUCUGUUGAUUAUUACUUAUUAUGGAGGAUGAGGCUAUAUAUAUGAUGUUAAAAAGGAACAUGGCUAUUCACCACAUCACAGGGUAUUGUAUCCAUUUGUUUCCUAAAGUCUGUUUAGUAAGAGAUCACUUCUGUGAUGAAAGCGCACGGUGGGCAGUACACAUUUGAUAUGAGUAGUCAAUGGGCAGGGGCAUUCAUUGCAGACAUAAGCACCCAGAUUCAGGUUCCCUAUCUUCUCACAAAGGUCACAAUAGUACUCACUGGUAUCAUCUUUGAUGAACGAAGCGUAAAGUAUGAGUUGAUGAAAGUUAGUGGCAAUCUUUUACCGUAGUGGAAUGCAAUCUGUGAUCACUAAGAUUGCACUGCACACAGCCGUAUAAGUCGAACCUGCAAAAUUUACCAGAGACACUGCAUAGGAAUCACAGUUCUGUAGACUAAAAAUAAGAAAGAGCAUAUGCUUGUGGAGGUGAUGUUUCAAAGUGGGCCUUUCAAAAGUGCAUGAAAUGUUGAAAUCGUAGUCACAUUCCAUGCAAUAAAAGACAGAGCGUUGACACUCUUCAGGAGAUCUGUCGACAAUGCUCCUUCCUA